CUGAACCAGCCAAGUAGCGUGAAGGAUGACUGCCCUAUGGGUUGUAAACUUCUUUUAUAAAGGAAUAAAGUCGGGUAUGUAUACCCGUUUGCAUGUACUUUAUGAAUAAGGAUCGGCUAACUCCGUGCCAGCAGCCGCGGUAAUACGGAGGAUCCGAGCGUUAUCCGGAUCUAUUGGGUUUAAAGGGAGCGUAGAUGGAUGUUUAAGUCAGUUGUGAAAGUUUGCGG
rnacentral:rRNA from 1 species